AACCAUCAUUGGUGUGACAAUCCUUGAAAUGGUGAUCAUAUCUCACUUGUAAGCUAAAUAUUCCUAAUGUAAGGCAUGUGUGGUGGUUUGGGGUACUUAUGCAUCUAAUUAAUACACACCUAUCCCACACAACCACAAACAUAAAUGCUAACACACCUAUAAACAUAAGCAUCAAUGCACCUAACCUAUUUACUUACCCACACAUCUAAUCGAUGAAUCUUGUUGGUGACCAUUCUCCUCUCAGGUAAACAGUUAAUCAUGUGUUAAUUAGACCAAGUAGGUCCAACAGGGAUAGGAUUUAAUGUGUUAAUAAUCACAUAACCUAGAACUUGAAUCUACACCCCCUAACCUUCUAAAUCAUCAACCCAUAACCCAUAACCCUUCUAAAUACGCAAUGUGAUUUAUUCCCAUUGUUCUGCAUGUCAAAGUGAAGAAAUUCAACCAAGCGUGGGUAAACGGUGGGAGUAACUAUGACUCUCUUAAGGUGGUCAUAUGCCUCAUCAUAUUAUUAGUGAUGCGCAUGAAUGGAUCAUUAAUGGGAUUCCCCAUUUUCCCUAGCUAUUAUAUUCUAGAGAAACCAAAUCCAAGGGAAUGGGCUUGGCAAAAUUCGCAGGGAAAGAAGACCAUGUUGAGCUUGACUCUAGUCCUAACCCAUUCAUAGUUUGGGA
rnacentral:ncRNA from 1 species